AUUCAGUGGAUGAAAAUUGGGAAGGAAGCAUUAUUUAAACAUUCUCGGAAUUCUGUUUUAUUGACAAAUAAAAAUAAGGCAAAUUAAUUAAAAAACAAUUCUUUUUACAGGUUGAUGGAUAUUUGAGUAUUCUCUGGGCUGUUUUGAGCAUUAUGCAAUUUCAAGGAUCAGAGAUGAGUCAAGAUGAGUUUGACUGAAUUUAUCUCUCUUUUGUUAAUUGAUGAUUUUCAAGUUUGAUAGAUUUUAAGUUUUGGAUAGGAAUUCAAGAACUCUUAUGGUUAAUGUUAGAGUUAGUAUAUUUGGGGUAUUAAGGUUUAUGUUUAGGAUGUUUAUGAUUUAAGGUUAGGGUUAUGAUUUAGGAUUUAAGAUCAGGGUUAUGAUUAUAGUUUGGGGUUAGUUAAUAUAGGGUUUAAAAUUCAUGUUAGUAAUAAUUAUGAUUAGGAUUUAGAAUUGCGAUUAGGGUUAGGGUUUAGGAUAUUUAAGAUAUUAGGGUUAGGUUAAGGUCCAAGGUUUAAUAUAUUUAGUGUUUAUGAUUUAGGGUGGUUUGGAUAUUUAGGGUUAGUAUUAGGGUUUAAGGUUCAAAUUAGGUUUAGGGUUUAGGAAUUAGUGGGUUUAUGGGUAGGUUUAGGUUAGGUUAAGUUUAGUAUAUAUAUGAGUAAGGGUUUAGGAAUUAGUUUUUGUAUUUAGGGUCUAGGAAUUAGUUUUUGUAUUUAGGGUUUAGGGUAUUAAGAUUACUGAUAGUAUAUUUAGAGCUUAGGAAUUAGGGUUAGGUUAUAUAAGGUUAGGAUUUAAGGCUUAAGGAUUAGGGUUUAGCUUAGUUUAUUUAGGGUUUAGGGUUAGAGUUUAUGAUUAAGUUUACGGUUGCUAUGUUAAGGACUAUGAUUUUGGUGUUGUUUGGUAAUCUUAUUUGUAGGUUAUGUGGCUUUCGAGUAUUCCAUUAGAUGGUGGAGCAAUAUAAAAAGGUGAUUCUAUAAAGUAUUGUUUUUUCCGUUCUUGUUUAAACAUCUAGUUUAUUUUGUCAUUCUUUGUAAAGAUUAGAAGAUUGUUUAGCAGCGCGGUGGAAUAAGAUUCUAAUGGUAUGAUUAAAACUCAAGUUGUGUGAUUUAGAUCAUUUUCUGUUGUUCAGGUACAGCUGUUUUUUUACUAAUAAAGAGAAAAAUAAAUAUUCCCACUAAUUGACAUUGUUUUACUGUUCAAUGUUUAGUGAUUGACCAAGAAUAUAUCUAAAAAGUACUUUAAUUGCUAAAAGAAUCCCUCAUGGCCUAUCAUUUGUUUGAGCUAACGUGUUUUCUCUCCUGUUAAAUAUGCAAGAUUAGUAGCAUGUAUUUUCACGAACAACACUCAACGUUCAUGGCGGGUGACUAAAGCUUUGGAACAUGCAUGGCUUGAUAGACGUCAAUGAAGAAAUUAUUUCAGCAGAGAGGGCACACAUUCUGUAUUCUUUAAGUAAUUAAAUACUUGUAAAUUCUUUUGGCAUUUUGACUUAUUACGUAAUAAUGCAGACGGUUCCAUUUCGAGGAGUAAAACAGUCUGAUCUACAAAACCAGGGCUCCAAGUAUGCGACAGAUGACAAUUUGGUGGUUGAUGGAUAUUUGAGCAUCCUUUAAGUUGCAAAGAGCAUUAUGCAAUUUCAAGGAUAAAAGAUGAGUCGAGAUGAGUUUGACUGAAUUUAUCUCUCUUUUGUUAAUUGAUGAUUUUCGAGUUUGAUAGAUUUUAAGUUUUGAUUAGGAAUUCAACAACUCUUAGAGUUUAGUAUAUUUAUGGUAUUAAGGUUCAGGAAUAGUAUAUUUAGGAUUUAGGGUUAGGGUUAUGAUUUAGAAUUAGGGUAUGAGUAUUUGGUAACAUUUUUUGCUCAUUAAUUCCAUUUAUUUUAUUGUUUUAUCUACGAAAUUAGAAAAUGAUGUCAUGUUAGCUCUGUAACCUAGUUCUAGGAGUAUUUGAGAUUGUCUUUUGAUACUUUAUCAACUAAAAGUCGAGUCUGAUUGUCACAUGUUCAUCAAUAAUUUGUGUACUUGAAUUUUGGUAUUUAACUAUUUUCUAAGUAGUCGAUCUUCUAGAAACAUAAAAUCAAUCUUAUGUAGAUUCUAUUAGAGCCUAUAUGUAUCAAUUAUGAUUUUCCUUGAACAUUUUUUUAUUGAUUAAUGCUCAUAGGUUUUGGUCUAACAACAAAAGUAGAAUCGAAUGCGUGUUCUUGAAAACACAGGCGAGUGAAACAUACUUGCUGAAUUUUAGUUCUUUUCAUUUUACUGUUACAACAUUUCCCUAAUAUGUAACUUCACCUUACCAUGAAAAUUGUGGAAACUCCAAUAAAUAGUUACAUCAUGAAAACUGUUGUGUUUGUAGGAGUAUUAGGCUUCCGUUGGUUACGCUGUCAUGCAACAAUACAGAGUUUCAAGAUAUUCUUAUAAUGCACUGCACUCACGGAGGCAUACAGGAUUAGCAGCAUAUAUUUUCACCAACAACAUACAACGUUCAUGGCGAGUGAAUGAAGCUCUGGAACAUGGCCCGGUAGGCGUCAAUGAAGGAAUUAUUUCAACAGAGGUGGCUCGAUUUUGAAGAGUAAAACAGUCUGGUCUAGAAAGGGAAGUCUAUAAGUAUUCAAUGGAUGACAAUUUGGAAGGAAGCAUUAUUUAAACAUUCUCGGAAUUUCUCUUUUAUUCGAAAAAUAAAAUAAGGCAAAUUUAAUAAAACAAGUCUUUUUACGGGUUGAUGGAAAUUCAAGUAUUUUUCAAGCUGCUUGGAGCAUUAAGCAAUUUCAAGGAUCAGAGAUGAGUCAAGAUGAGUUUGACUGAAUUUAUCUCUUUUUUGUUAAUUGCUACUUUUCGAGUUUGAUAGAUUUUAAGUUUUGGCUAGGAAUUCAACAACUCUUAGGGUUCAGUGUUUAGAGUUUAUUAUAUUUAGGGUAUUGUGGUUUAGGUUUAGUAUAUUUACGAUUUAGGAUUAUGGUUGAGAUUUAGGAUUUAAUAUUAGGGUAUGAGGAUUAGGUUUAGAUUGGCUUAUAUAGGGAUUAAGGUUAGUUUAUAUAGGGUUUAAGAUUCAGCUUAGUAUAAUUAUGAUUAGGGUUUAGGGUUCAGGUUAAGGUUAGGGUUAGGUUCAGGAUUAGGAUAUUUAAGGUAUUAAGGUUAGGUUAAGGUUUAGGGUUUAAUUUAUUUAGUGUUUACGAAUUAGGGUGGUUUUCAUAUUUGGGGUUACGGUUUAGGAAUUAGUGGGUUUAUGGUUAGGUUUAGGUUAGGUUAGGUUUAGUAUAUUUACGAGUAAAUGUUUAGGAAUUAGUUUUUGUAUUAGGGUUUAGGAUAUUAGGAUUACAUAUAUUAUAUUUAGAGAUUAGUAUUAGAGUUAGGAAUUAGGAAUAGGUUAUAUAGGGUUAGGAUAUAGGGCUUAAGGAUUAGUGUUUAGUUUAGUUUAUUUAGGUUUUAGGUUUAGAGUUUAUGAUUAAGUUUACAGUUGCUAUGUUAAGGAUUAUGAUUUUGGUGUUGUUUGGUAAUCUUAUUUAUAGGUUAUAUGGCUUUCAAGAAUUCCCUUAAAUGGUGGAGCAAUGUAAAAAGGUGAUUCUAUAAAUUAUUGUUUUUUUCCAUUCUUGUUUAAACAUCUAAUUUAUUUUGUCAUUCUUUGUAAAGGUUGGAAGAUUAUUUAGCAGCGUGGUGGAAUAUGAUUCUGAUGUUUAGAUUUAGAUCAUCUCCUGUUAUUCAGGUACAACUGUUUUUUUACUAAUAAGGAGUAAAACAUAUAUUCCCAUUAAUUGACAUUGUUUAACUGUUCAAUGUUUAGUGAUUGACCGAGUAUAUAUCUAAAAGGUACUUUUAUUACUAAAACAAUCCUCUCAUGGUCUAUCAUCUGUUUGAGCUUCUGUGUUUUCUGUACUGUUAAAUAUGCAAGAUUAGUCGCAUAUAUUUUCACCAACAACAUACAACGUUCAUAGCGAGUGACUAAAGGUUCAGAACAUGGUUUGAUAGACGUCAAUGAAGGAAUCAUUUCAGCAGAGGGCGGCUCCAUUUCGAGGAGUAAAACAGUAUGGUCUUCGAAAGGAAGGCUCUAAGUAUGCGAUGGAUGGCAAUUUGGAGGUUUAUGGAUAUUCAAGCAUCCUCCAAUCUGCAAAGAGCAUUAUGCAGCUCAAGAAUCGAAGAUGAGUCGAGAUGAGUUUGACUGAAUUUAUCUCUGUUUUGUUACUAUCUUAAGGAUUAUGAUUCUGGUGUUGUUUGGUAAUCUUAUUUGUAGGUUAUGUGGCUUUCGAGGAUUCCAUUAGAUGGUGGAGCAAUAUAAAAAGGAUGGAAGAGUUUUUCGCAGAGCAGUGGAAUUUGAUUCUGAAGGCGGCUCCAUUUGGAGGAGUAAAACAGUCUGGUCUACGAAAGGAAGGCUCCAAGUAUGCGAUGGAUAACAAUUUGGAGAUAAGUAUGAUUCAAACAUUCUCAGGAUUUCUCUUUUAUCUAAAAAUAAAAAUAAGGCAAAUUAAUGAUAAACGGUAGUUUUACAGGUUGAUGGAUAUUGGAGUAUCCUCCAAGAUGCAAAGAGCAUUGUGCAAUCUCAAGAAUCGAAGAUGAAUCGAGAUGAGUUUGACUGAAUUUCUCUACAUUUUGUUACUAUGUUAAGGAUUAUGAUUUUGGUGUUGUUUGGUAAUCUUAUUUGUAGGUCAUGUUGUUUUCGAGGAUUCCAUUAGAUGGCGCAACAAUUUAAAAAGGUGAUUCUAUAAAUUAUGGUUUUUUCCGUUCUUGUUUAAACAACGAAUUUAUUUUGUCAUUCUUUCUAAAGGUUGGAAGAUUGUUUUGCAAAGCAGUGAAAUAUGAUUCUGAUGGUAUGAUUAAAGCUCAAAUUGUUAGGUUUAGAUCAUCUCCUGUUGUUCAGGUACAAAUGUUUUUUUUACUAAUAAGGAGUAAAAUAAAUAUUCCCACUAACUGACAUUGUUUUAUUGUUCAAUGUUUAGUAAUUGACCAAGUAUAUAUCUAAAAGGUACUUUAAUUACUAGAAGAAUCCUCUCAUGGUUUAUCAUCUGUUUAAGUUUCCGCGUUUGCUCUACUGUAAAACAUGCAAGAUUAGUAGCUUAUAUUUUCACCCACAACAUACAACGUUCAUGGCGAGUGACUAAAGCUUUUGAACAUGACCUGGUAGACGUCAAUGAAGGAAUUAUUUCAGCAGAGGGCGGCUCCAUUUCGAGGAGUAAAACAAUCUGGUCUUCGAAAGAAGACUAUAAGUAUGCGAUGAAUGACAAUUUGGAGGUUUAUGGACAUUCGAGCAUCCUCCAAGCUGCAAAGAGCAUUAUGCAAUCUCAAGGAUCGAAGAUGAGUCGAGAUGAGUUUGACUGAAUUUAUCUCUCUUUUGUUACUAUGUUAAGGAUUAUGAUUUUGGUGUUGUUUGGUUAUCUUGUUUUAUAGGUUAUGUGGCUUUCGAGGAUUCCAUUAGAUGGUGGAGCAAUAUGAAAAUGUGAUUCUAUAAAUUAUUGUUUUUUCCGCUCUUGUUUAAAGAUCUAAUUCCUUUGUAAAAGUGGGAAAAUUGUUUGCAGAGCUGUGAAAUAUGAUUCUGAUGGUAUUAUUUAGACUCUAGUUGUUUGAUCUCCUUUUGUUCAGGAUUAGCAUCAUUAAUUUUCAGCAACAAUGUACAUACAACGUUCAUGGCAAGUGGCUACAUGGACCUGUAGAAGGGAUUACUUCAACAGAGCCUGGUCUAGGAAGGGAAGGCUCCAAGUAUGCGAUGGAUGACAAUUGAAAGGAUUCCUUUAUAUGGCGGAGCAAUAUGAAAAGAUUGUGUAGUGGAGCGGUGGAAUAUGAUUCUAAUGGUAUUGCUAAACCUCUAGUUGUUUGAUGUCAUUUUUGUUCAGGAUUAGCAACAUUAAUUUUCAGCAACAACAUACAACGUUCAUGGCGAGUGGCUACAUGGCCUUGUAGAAGGAAUUACGUUAAUAGAGGUGCUCAGUUUAGAGGAGUAAAACAAUUUGGUCUAGCUAGGGAAGCUCC